AGAAUCAACGCUGGCGGCGUGCCUCAGACAUGCAAGUCGAACGCGAAAGUCCCCUUCGGGGGGCAAGUAGAGUGGCGCACGGGUGAGUAACACGUAGGUAAUCUACCUUUGGAUGGGGAAUAACAACCGGAAACGGUUGCUAAUACCGCAUAAUGCAGCGGCACCUAAUGGUGACAGUUGUUAAAGCGGGGGAUCGAAAGACCUCGCGUCUGAAGAGGAGCCUGCGGCGGAGUAGCUAGUUGGUAAGGUAACGGCUUACCAAGGCAACGAUCCGUA
rnacentral:rRNA from 1 species